UGAGGGAAAGCUGCAAAGUACUCUGAAGAGAGAGUUCAAAAGGACGUGAAGCCGUCUGCAGGGAAACGGGUGAGACCGCACGGUAGACCCGCGGCGGAUUCAGCCCCGGGGGCAACCUCGGGGUGCACUUCCGCGCCUGCGGGUCGCGCAGGGCCCGACUCUGCGGCCGUCUGAAGCCCGGCGAGGAGGUGACGGGGUUCUUCGGGACUCCGAGUUUAACUCGUCGGCGCGGAGACCGGCUGCGGGGUCGAGGAACGUCCAUCCAUCUUUUGACGCAUUUU
rnacentral:rRNA from 1 species